rnacentral:rRNA from 1 species
ACUCAAAGGAAUAGACGGGGGCCCGCACAAGCAGCGGAGCGUGUGGUUUAAUUCGAUGCAACGCGAAGAACCUUACCUGGGUUUGAAUGGACGUGGUAGAAGGGUGAAAGCCCGACGACCCGCAAGGGAGCGUUCACGGGUGCUGCAUGGCUGUCGUCAGCUCGUGUCGUGAGAUGUUGGGUUAAGUCCCGCAACGAGCGCAACCCUUGUCGUGUGUUUUAAGUGUCACACGAGACUGCCCGUGCAAGCGGGAGGAAGGUGGGGAUGACGUCAAGUCAGCAUGGCCUUUAUAUCCAGGGCGACACACACGCUACAAUGGCUGGGACAAUGGGCUGCGAGGUAGCAAUACUGAGCCAAUCCACAAACCCAGUCUCAGUUCGGAUUGGGGGCUGCAACUCGCCCCCAUGAAGGCGGAGUUGCUAGUAACCGCGCGUCAGCCAUAGUGCGGUGAAUACGUUCCCGGGCCUUGCACACACCGCCCGU